UACGAAGGGGGUGAGCGUUGUUCGGAAUUAUUGGGCGUAAAGGGAGCGUAGGCGGUUCGAUAAGUCACUUGUGAAAUCUCUGGGCUCAACUCAGAGUCUGCAAGCGAAACUGUCGGGCUUGAGUAUGGGAGAGGUGAGUGGAAUUCCUGGUGUAGCGGUGAAAUGCGUAGAUAUCAGGAGGAACACCUGUGGCGAAAGCGGCUCACUGGACCAUUACUGACGCUGAUGCUCGAAAGCUAGGGGAGCAAACAGG
rnacentral:rRNA from 1 species